CCUUAGAGUUUGAUCCUGGCUCAGGACGAACGCUGGCGGCACGCCUAACACAUGCAAGUCGAACGGAGAAAAUGAUUUCGGUUAUUUUCUUAGUGGCGGACGGGUGAGUAACACGUGAGGAACCUGCCUUUGAGAGUGGGAUAGCUUCUGGAAACGGAUGGUAAUACCGCAUAACAUAGUGAAACCGCAUGAUUUUGCUAUCAAAGUAUUUCGCUCAGAGAUGGCCUCGCGUCUGAUUAGAUAGUUGGUGAGGUAACGGCUCACCAAGUCGACGAUCAGUAGCCGGACUGAGAGGUUGAACGGCCACAUUGGGACUGAGACACGGCCCAGACUCCUACGGGAGGCAGCAGUGGGGGAUAUUGCACAAUGGGGGAAACCCUGACGCAGCGACGCCGCGUGGAGGAAGAAGGUCUUCGGAUUGUAAACUCCUGUUGUUGAGGAAGAUAAUGACGGUACUCAACAAGGAAGUGACGGCUAACUACGUGCCAGCAGCCGCGGUAAAACGUAGGUCACAAGCGUUGUCCGGAAUUACUGGGUGUAAAGGGAGCGCAGGCGGGAAGACAAGUUGGAAGUGAAAUCCAUGGGCUCAACCCAUGAACUGCUUUCAAAACUGUUUUUCUUGAGUAGUGCAGAGGUAAGCGGAAUUCCCGGUGUAGCGGUGGAAUGCGUAGAUAUCGGGAGGAAACACCAGUGGCGAAGGCGGCCUACUGGGCACCAACUGACGCUGAGGCUCGAAAGUGUGGGUAGCAAACAGGAUUAGAUACCCUGGUAGUCCACACCGUAAACGAUGAUUACUAGGUGUUGGAGGAUUGACCCCUUCAGUGCCGCAGUUAACACAAUAAGUAAUCCACCUGGGGAGUACGACCGCAAGGUUGAAACUCAAAGGAAUUGACGGGGGCCCGCACAAGCAGUGGAGUAUGUGGUUUAAUUCGACGCAACGCGAAGAACCUUACCAAGUCUAGACAUCCCUUGACGAUGCUGGAAACAGUAUUUCUCUUCGGAGCAAGGAGACAGGUGGUGCAUGGUUGUCGUCAGCUCGUGUCGUGAGAUGUUGGGUUAAGUCCCGCAACGAGCGCAACCCUUAUGGUCAGUUACUACGCAAGAGGACUCUGGCCAGACUGCCGUUGACAAAACGGAGGAAGGUGGGGAUGACGUCAAAUCAUCAUGCCCCUUACGACCUGGGCUACACACGUGCUACAAUGGGUACAACAAAGAGACGCGAGGCCGCAAGGUGGAGCCAAACUCAGAAAAGUACUCUCAGUUCAGAUUGUGGGCUGCAACCCGCCCACAUGAAGUUGGAGUUGCUAGUAAUCGCGGAUCAGCAUGCCGCGGUGAAUACGUUCCCGGGCCUUGCACACACCGCCCGUCA
rnacentral:rRNA from 1 species